GUCUGGCCACCAUGGGGGCCCCAGAGCCCUCCUGGUGCUUUCUGUUCCUUCCUGUCCUCCUGACUGUGGGAGGAUUAAGUCCCGUACAGGCCCAGAGUGGUAAGCCAUAACACCCCUGGUCUUUCUCUCUUCCUCUCAAGAUUUCCUCAGGCUACCCCUUUUCCUUCUAGCUCUCUCUCUCUGCUAACGCCGAGCCCUGAUUGUUAACCUGUGUCUCCCUCUUCAUCCUUCUGAGACAAUUACCCAGGAUGCGAAUGUUCCUCUGUGAGCCCGGGUGUACUGGCUGGGAUUGUGCUGGGCGACUUGGUGCUGACUCUGCUCAUCGCCCUGGCGGUGUACUCUCUGGGCCGCCUGGUCUCUCGAGGCCGAGGGACUGCAGACGGGACCCGGAAACAGCACAUGGCUGAGACUGAGUCACCUUAUCAGGAGCUUCAGGGUCAGAGGCCAGAAGUAUACAGUGACCUCAACACACAGAGGCAGUAUUACAGAUGAACCCACCCUAUGCCCACCAACAACCUGAUGCCCGGAUCCACUCAUUCCAGACGCUUACUCAACAAACCCUCCCUGGGAUCAGGACUCCCGCUGGAAUAAAUAUCCACAGAGUGCCCUCUGGGAGAUAUCUGACCUUGUACCGUUUCUGUCCCCAAAUAAAAGACGAAGCAAAAACAA
rnacentral:lncRNA from 1 species